GUCCCAAGAAUUUCGGAUAAAGGAUUAUGAACUUGUGUAUAUCUAUAAGCCGUCUAUCAGCGUACAGUUUACAGUACGGAGCAUUCGCAAAGUCGCUAUCGUGGUGUUUGAAUAUGUUUCACCUGCUGAAAGGGCACAGCAGAAAAAAGUUCCUGCCCAUGAACGUGACUGGACGCAAUCCGAAUUAUUACGCAUGAUUCAGGCGA
rnacentral:misc_RNA from 1 species